CAGAAGGGGAGAGUGGAANUUCCAUGUGUAGCGGUGAAANGCGUAGAUAUAUGGAGGAACNCCAGUGGCGAAAGCGGCUCUCUGGUCUGUCACUGACGNUGAGGCUCGAAAGCGUGGGUAGCGAACAGGAUUAGAUACCCUGGUAGUCCACGCCGUAAACGAUGAGUGCUAGGUGUUAGGCCCUUUCCGGGGCUUAGUGCCGGAGCUAACGCAAUAAGCACUCCGCCUGGGGAGUACGACCGCAAGGUUGAAACUCAAAGGAAUUGACGGGGGCCCGCACAAGCGGUGGAGCAUGUGGUUUAAUUCGAAACAACGCGAAGAACCUUACCAGGUCUUGACAUCCCGAUGCUAUUCUUAGAGAUAGGAAGUUACUUCGGUACAUCGGAGACAGGUGGUGCAUGGUUGUCGUCAGCUCGUGUCGUGAGAUGUUGGGUUAAGUCCCGCAACGAGCGCAACCCUUAUUGUUAGUUGCCAUCAUUAAGUUGGGCACUCUAGCGAGACUGCCGGUAAUAAACCGGAGGAAGGUGGGGAUGACGUCAAAUCAUCAUGCCCCUUAUGACCUGGGCUACACACGUGCUACAAUGGUCGGUACAACGAGUUGCGAGCCGGUGACGGCAAGCUAAUCUCUGAAAGCCGAUCUCAGUUCGGAUUGGAGGCUGCAACUCGCCUCCAUGAAGUCGGAAUCGCUAGUAAUCGCGGAUCAGCACGCCGCGGUGAAUACGUUCCCGGGCCUUGUACACACCGCCCGUCACACCACGAGAGUUUGUAACACCCGAAGUCGGUGAGGUAACCUUUUAGGGNCCA
rnacentral:rRNA from 1 species